UACGGGGGGAGCAAGCGUUGUUCGGAUUUACUGGGCGUAAAGGGCGCGUAGGCGGCGUGACAAGUCACUUGUGAAAUCUCCGGGCUUAACUCGGAACGGUCAAGUGAUACUGUCGUGCUAGAGUACAGAAGGGGCAACUGGAAUUCUCGGUGUAGCGGUGAAAUGCGUAGAUAUCGAGAGGAACACCUGCGGCGAAGGCGGGUUGCUGGGCUGAUACUGACGCUGAGGCGCGAAAGCCAGGGGAGCGAACAGG
rnacentral:rRNA from 1 species